UACGUAGGGGGCAAGCGUUGUCCGGAAUCAUUGGGCGUAAAGCGCGCGUAGGCGGCCCGGUAAGUCCGCUGUAAAAGUCCAGGGCUCAACCCUGGAAAGCCGGUGGAUACUGUCGGGCUAGAGUCCGGAAGAGGCGAGUGGAAUUCCUGGUGUAGCGGUGGAAUGCGCAGAUAUCAGGAAGAACACCCGUGGCGAAAGCGGCUCUCUGGAACGGUACUGACGCUGAGACGCGAAAGCGUGGGGAGCGAACAGG
rnacentral:rRNA from 1 species